UACGAAGGGGGCUAGCGUUGUUCGGAAUUACUGGGCGUAAAGGGCGCGUAGGCGGUACUUCAAGUCAGGCGUGAAAGCCCCGGGCUCAACCUGGGAACCGCGCUUGAGACUGGAGAACCUAGAGUUCGGGAGAGGAUGGUGGAAUUCCCAGUGUAGAGGUGAAAUUCGUAGAUAUUGGGAAGAACACCGAUGGCGAAGGCAGCCAUCUGGACCGACACUGACGCUGAGCGCGAAAGCGUGGGGA
rnacentral:rRNA from 1 species